UACGGAGGGUGCAAGCGUUAUCCGGAUUUACUGGGCUUAAAGGGUGUGUAGGCGGGCUUUUAAGUCAGUGGUGAAAUCUCCGGGCUCAACCUGGAAACUGCCAUUGAUACUAUUAGUCUUGAAUUUUGUUGAGGUAGGCGGAAUAAGUCAUGUAGCGGUGAAAUGCAUAGAUAUAACUUAGAACACCAAUUGCGAAGGCAGCUUGCUAAACAAAUAUUGACGCUGAGGCACGAAAGCGUGGGGAUCAAACAGG
rnacentral:rRNA from 1 species